CGAUCCCCGCUGCAGAAUACCGACACACUGGGCGGACACAAGCGGAGGAGCCGGCGCGUAGGACACUUGUUGAUGCCGUUAAAGAAGUGCGUGAAGUGCGUAAAAAGUGUCGUCUGAAGUGUCAAAUAGAGCCAGACUCCUCUCAAAAAGGAACUUUUAAAACUCUGGAGAGAAUCGGACAGAGUGGAGGGGACCGUUUGGAAGAACAGCGGGCGCACACACGAAACGUUAACCGAAGGACAGUCGAUUUAACCGGAGCUGAGAUUUGAGUUUGAUCAGGUAAUAGAGAGGCGGUCAGCGGGUCGAGGCCGGUGGAAUCCCCCGGGGUCCUCGAAUCGCUUGUCGGGGCGUGUCUUUUUUUCAGAUUUCCCCUUAAGUUUUUUUUUCAACUUGCAAGGUUCACUUCAGAAUUGCAAAAGCAUAAGCCAUGGUCGGGGAGACAGAGGUGAAGGAGAGACCCAAGUCCAACCCGGACUAUCUAAUGCAGCUGAUGAACGACAGGAAGGUGAUGAGCUCUCUGCCCAACUUCAGCGGCAUCUUUACGCAUCUGGAGCGGCUGCUGGAUGAAGAAAUCGGCAGGGUACGCAAGGACAUGUACAACGACACAGUGAACGGUGGCAUGUUCAACGGGCGGGACAUGGAGGAGCUUCCUGAAGCUAUCGGCCCCGUGGCUCAACUGCAGGAGAAGCUCUACGUGCCGGUCAAAGAGUACCCCGAUUUUAACUUUGUAGGGAGGAUCCUGGGCCCACGUGGACUGACGGCCAAACAACUGGAGGCAGAGACCGGCUGCAAGAUUAUGGUGCGAGGAAAGGGCUCCAUGAGAGACAAGAAGAAGGAGGAGAUGAACCGAGGGAAGCCCAACUGGGAGCACCUCAGCGAAGACCUCCACGUCCUGAUCACAGUGGAGGACACACACAACCGGGCCAAGAUCAAACUCCAGCGAGCCAUCAACGAGGUCAAGAAACUUCUUGUGCCCGCUGCUGAGGGGGAGGACAACCUGAAGAAAAUGCAGUUGAUGGAGCUGGCCAUUCUCAACGGGACGUACAGAGACGCCAAUGUCAAGACGCCCACAGCCGCUUUCCCUCUAGGUACCCCUCAGGCGCCUCGGAUCAUCACAGGCCCGACGCCCGUCCUGCCUCCCAGCCUGCGCAACCCCGCCCCUGUCAACACGCCGACCCUCAUGCCUCUUAUUCGCCAGAUCCAGAGCUCAGCCCUCAUGCCGGGUGGCAAUCCACACCCCACGCUGGUGCAGCAGGGGCCCGAAUCUGGAAUCAUUUACACACCCUACGAGUAUCCCUACACACUUACGCCCUCCAUAUUGGAAUACCCGAUUGACUCAACUGGAGUUUUAGGUAUGGCUUUCCCAACCAAAGGCUAAGCGAUAGCAACCCUUCCUAGCACACACACGGACUGGCUUGCAGACCCCGCCCCCCCCCCCACAUACUUCAAACAGAGCAAACACUCAAAGUUUGCUCAUACUUUAGGAUGACAGAUUCCUCGACAGUCAUUCUGUAGUCAAGUGUCCAUUCCUGUUUAUUUCCUCUUCGUAUUAGUAAACUAGUGUUGUGGUGUGACAGCUAUUUAACUUUUUUUAAUAGUUCAGCUUCCGCUUGUAACUUUUAACACAUUUUAAUGAACCCAUAGAUAUUUUAGCACCGCUGUUUGUGAUUUAAUAUAUGUUAAAGCUUAUUUUAAUCACAGAGCUAUAGAGUGACUUUGCUACCGCUGAAAUUGAAUCUACUAGUUCGCUUAGUGAGAAAUUAGUGGUUUGGAUUAAUAUUUUCUUUAGAGAACAGAAGACCACAAAACAACAACAAUUCUGUCUCUUAGAAGCGAGAUGUUUUUACUUAUUUUCACCGUCAGCCUUGAACUUUUUGUAAAUUCCUGGUUUCAUUGAUGUUGGUGCCAUGGGUAGACUGUUUCAUGUCUUUCUGAUGAGUAACCUUCUGUGUUCUGUUUUGGCGAUGUCAAUGGCUGUUAGCAGGUGCCAUGACCACUAAGGUACGACGCCACGACAAGAGAAUCCAUCCUUACCAAAGGGUAGUGACCCCAGACAGAGCUGCCACGGCAACUAACCCAUGACCCCUUGACCUUCUGACCUUUCCGCCCACUGAUGACCCACCCAUCUCUGCCCGCUGGCGCGCUCAUUGGCCCACGGCCCCGCCACUCCCUCAGCUCUGCCAACCAGACCAGCACUUUGGGAACAACCCCGGCUGCUUCUGUCUAACCAACCAACCAGACGACAGCGAUCAUGGGAAAAAAACCUCAGGACCCCGCCCAUCAAGUCCUAACCUAAACUUUACCAAACGUGCCUUCCUUCCAAAUGUCCAAAGCCGGUCUGAGAAUGUUUUAUAACCAUUCAACAGUCGAAAUCCCAAUCUGUAAUGGUUGUUGCCAUGCUAUACCAGUAGACUUUACUGUGGAGGGGGCCCACACUGGUGAAGGGCUCCUAAACAAAUCCCUGGCUGUGCCAAACUGUCCCUCUGAGCUGCCCUGCCCUCGGUCCAUGUGAUGCAAUAAUAAUAACUCUAUUAAUAACAUAGUAACUAUACUGAUAAUGAUGGUAACUGUACUUAUCCAGCACAGAAACCCUCCAUAAACACUAAACUAAGAGAUGUGUUGAUAUUUUGAAACAUUUUUUCCUCAUCGGGCACCUCUUACUUAAUGUGGGAAACUUUUCUAAACACUCUGCUUUUUUUGGGCAUAAUACAUUAAUUUCAUUAUUACACAUUAUAAUUUGUGUUAAAACAUUCAGUUUAUUAACACGCUUUCCCUUUAAAUGUAACACCAACCUGUGGUUUCUGAUGAUGUGUUUAAAACGUCACUUUUUUAAAUAACUUAUUUUGUGCUUCAUUUCCUUUAAAAAAAAAGACCUGGGAGAGUGAUUUCCAUUUCUCCUUGACACGUUUGAAUGAGGAAUACAAAAAAAAAAAACGUUCGGGGAAGUAAAAUGCCGGUGCAGCAGCUUUUUUCACUGUAAAGCAACAGGUGCUCAGUGAGGAAAAAUAACAAACCAGAAUCCAAAAUGCCACAGUAUCUCUGAGUUUUUCUUAUUAGGUUAAAGCAUCCCAAUACUGAGUCAACAGCAUAAAUGCCAAGCCUGUACAGGACAGACACACUCACAGAGGGAAGGUUGCACUUCUUUUGUCUAAAUCUAGAGGACUUACACAACGAUGCCUUUGCCUUUUUUACACUACAGUAUUGUAUGAGCUUGAACAGCAGUGCCUAUAUUUAUUGUGAGCGAUGGAACAAUGUUACACCUAAAUCUUUUUCCACUACAUUGUGGGUUUGUGCCCAGCAUGGAAUUGGUGGGUUUAUGCAGAUUCAUUAGCACUGCAAGAAAUGUGUCGCAGCCAGUUGUCAUCAUCUGCAUUUUUAUGGCUUUACAUCCAUAACGCUUAUCAAUUCAGAUUUUAGUGCCCAAAAAAAAAAACCAAGUGUCUCAUCUGAAUUGGAAGUGCAAUGCACUAUUGAAUCAGCAGCUACAGUGUCUGAGAUGUUUAUGUGAGGUUCAGAUACCUCAAGAGAACAGUGUUAUAUUUUAUCUUUUUCUUGUGUUUGUUUGUUUGUUUGUUUGAUUGUUUUGUUGGAGAUGAAGUCGUCCAUAUAUAUAUUUUAGCAUGUGUAUCCGCUUUCUCUGAGGGCGUGGCACAGUUUUACACACACACACACACACACACACACACACACACACACACAUAAACCAACCGAUGCCUUGACAUAAAAAAAAUCAUGGAGUCAUAACAUCUGUAACAAGUUUAUAAUGUAUUUUUAUAUUCUAUUUUGUACGUGAAAAUAACAUUAAAUGACCUUUUCAGAUAAGAACAUUUAUGCCUUAUUACGGAGAAACAUUUGAUGAACUAUCCUUCAUUUGUCAUUUGUAAUCAUGUCUCUAUGUCCUGAUAUACUGGAGUCUCUGAUGUUCUCUGUAUUAACUUGAGAUCAGCA